UACGGAGGGUGCAAGCGUUGUCCGGAUUUAUUGGGUUUAAAGGGUGCGUAGGCGGCAGAUUAAGUCAGCGGUGAAAUUCCACAGCUCAACUGUGGAACUGCCAUUGAUACUGGUUUGCUUGAGUACAGAUGAGGUAGGCGGAAUUGACAGUGUAGCGGUGAAAUGCUUAGAUAUUGUCAAGAACACCUAUUGCGAAGGCAGCUUACUAAGCUGUAACUGACGCUGAGGCGCGAAAGCUAGGGGAGCGAACGGG
rnacentral:rRNA from 1 species